rnacentral:rRNA from 1 species
UACGUAGGGUGCGAGCGUUAAUCGGAAUUACUGGGCGUAAAGCGUGCGCAGGCGGUUCGUUAAGUUCGAUGUGAAAGCCCCGGGCUCAACCUGGGAAUGGCAUUGGAAACUGGCGGACUCGAGUGUGGCAGGAGGGGGGUGGAAUUCCGCGGUGUAGCAGGUGAAAUGCGUAGAGAUGCGGAGGAACACCGGUGGCGAAGGCGGCCCGACUGGAUCGGUACUGACGCUGAGGUGCGAAAGCGUGGGGGAGCAAACAGG